rnacentral:rRNA from 1 species
CGUGUAGGCGGUUCUGUAAGUCGGACGUGAAAGCUCCUGGCUUAACUGGGAGAGGCCGUUCAAUACUGCAGGACUUGAGGUCGGGAGAGGGACGUGGAAUUCCCGGUGUAGUGGUGGAAUGCGUAGAUAUCGGGAGGAACACCAGUGGCGAAGGCGGCGUCCUGGCCCGCACCUGACGCUAAGACGCGAAAGCGUGGGUAGCGAAC